UACGGAGGGUGCAAGCGUUAUCCGGAUUCACUGGGUUUAAAGGGUGCGUAGGUGGGUCUGUAAGUCAGUGGUGAAAUCUCCGGGCUUAACCCGGAAACUGCCAUUGAUACUAUAGGUCUUGAAUCUUCUGGAGGUUAGCGGAAUAUGUCAUGUAGCGGUGAAAUGCUUAGAUAUUCCAUAGAACACCAAUUGCGAAGGCAGCUGGCUGCCGGGGCAUUGACACUGAGGCACGAAAGCGUGGGGAUCAAACAGG
rnacentral:rRNA from 1 species